AGUGAACGCUGGCGGUAGGCCUAACACAUGCAAGUCGAACGGCAGCACAGUAAGAGCUUGCUCUUACGGGUGGCGAGUGGCGGACGGGUGAGGACUACAUCGGAAUCUACUUUUUCGUGGGGGAUAACGUAGGGAAACUUACGCUAAUACCGCAUACGACCUACGGGUGAAAGCAGGGGAUCUUCGGACCUUGCGCGAUUGAAUGAGCCGAUGUCGGAUUAGCUAGUUGGCGGGGUAAAGGCCCACCAAGGCGACGAUCCGUAGCUGGUCUGAGAGGAUGAUCAGCCACACUGGAACUGAGACACGGUCCAGACUCCUACGGGAGGCAGCAGUGGGGAAUAUUGGACAAUGGGCGCAAGCCUGAUCCAGCCAUACCGCGUGGGUGAAGAAGGCCUUCGGGUUGUAAAGCCCUUUUGUUGGGAAAGAAAAGCAGCAGGUUAAUACCCCGCUGUUCUGACGGUACCCAAAGAAUAAGCACCGGCUAACUUCGUG
rnacentral:rRNA from 1 species